GGCACGUCUGACUCGGCUGAGAUGAGAAUCAGGAUCAGAAGCUUAUGGAAAACCUCAACAUGACUUAGUCACUGUACGUAAUGUUUACAGAUGAACUAUACAAUGACAUCUAGAAAUAUUAUGCUGUAACUAAAACGCAAAUGAUCAUCUAUUUUUUUUUUUAUUCAUUAACAUCUUCACUCCUGACCACCUUUGAUUGACAAAAAUAUUAGAACUAUUAGCAUAACAUGUAUGUAAAGCAAGGCAUGCGUAGGUAGCAUAUAAACAUAUCAUAAUACAGCACUUUUUGCGUAUGUAAUGCUUUGCAAACAAAUGUAAAAAUUUUAUUUCAUUAAUUCACACAUUUUUUAUUUCACUUACAUGUUCAGCUUUUAUUAAAUAUUUAGGAAAUUAAAAUGUUUAGACAUUAUAUAGUGUCAUUUAUCUUGCAAUAUUUCACACAGGGUCUGAAACUUUAGUAUAAAUGAAACAAUGCUAUUUGUUUUAAUCAAAUACAAUAGGUAUGACAAAAAUAGAUAAAGAAAAAAUACCUUGCUUACAUGUAUUUUUACAGAUGCUGUAGGCAUUAUUAGCAGGACAUCUUACUAUAAAUGUCAACAGAUUGUAAAAAGAUUGUCUGCAUUUGAACAUAAUGCCAACAUACAGUAAAUACAGUUAAUGUUACCGGGUAACACUGAAGAAGCCACGCUUUAAAUCCCAUCACAUUAAAUCAUAUAUUUAUGAAAUAAAGGUACUUAAAACUGCUAUAACAAUCUUUCUGCUAAUGUAAUGCUAAUAGUAUAAUGGCAGAGUCCUGUCACUCAUUGCCCCCUCCCUGAUUAUAGGAAUUAUACGACCAACUGAAACUUCCUGUACUGUUUGAAAGCAGAUGGUGGGCUUACAUGUCGGCAUUAUAUCAGUGACUAAUGGCUUCUGAAAGAGAAUUGUGUUCCUUUACAGGCUGGUAAUCAUAAAUGAGGGUGAGUAAAACUUUAUGGACUCAAUUUCAUUCUGCAAAAUACAUAAAAAUAAAAAUGUUUAUACUUGAUUGAGCUAGGGAAGUGGUUGAUGUGUUCUAUUACAUUUUUAGAAUUAUAAAUUUAUACUUCAGUUUAGCACAGUCAAUGAAAUGAAAAGUCGAGGUAAAAAAAAAUAAAAAAUACAUAUUUCAAUGCACAUGAAACAGGCAGUUAAAGGGAUAUCCUAAGCACCAAAGCUACUUUAGAUUAAGUAGUUUUGAUAUACAGAUCGCAACCCUGAAGGUUACCUGCUCAAGUUUCUGCCAUUUAGUAAUUAUAAUCUUAAAGCACAAAAAGUUUAUUUUAGAAGUUCUUAUCUCGUGCUCUGAUAAUUGAACUUUAACACACACAGGAGUCUGCUGUAGACUCUACCAGGUAAUUAUCAGAGUAGGAAGUAACAACUCCUAAACACACUGUGUAAUAAGUUUAAAUGUUAGACCUAUGUUUCGUAAAGUGUGUAGGGAGACUUGGUGAAUCACAUACAUAGUAAGUAUGGCUAGGGCUGCACAAACAAUGUGAUUUAACUCCUAAAUGACAGAUAAUUGAGCAGUGGGAUGUUAGGGGCAUGAUGAAUACAUCAAAAUGACUUUGUUAAGUUAAAGGGUAUAUGUUAAGACAAAUACAACUUAAAGGGACACUAUAGUCAUCAGAACAACUACAGCUUAUUGUAUUUUUUUUUUCUGGUGAAUAUAAUCAUUCUCUUCAGGCUGUUUGAAGGAAAUACUGUCUUUUCUGAGAAAAUUCAGUAUUUAAAUUACAGCCUAGGGAUACCUUCACUGGCUACUUGUCAGAUGGCUACUAGAGGUGCUAUCUGUGGAAGUGCUGCACAAUGCAGCACCAGUGUUAAUUUUGUUGACUAACAAUUUUAGUCAAAUUUUAGUCAACUAAACGUUUUGAGAUUUAGUCAACUAAAACUAGACUAAAACUAAAACAAUUCAGAUUACUAAAUACGACUAAAACUAAAAUGUCAUUUUUGUCAAAAGACUAUGACUAAAACUAAAUUGAAAUUUGCUCCCAAAAUUAACACUGCACAGAGCAGUUGUGUAAGGAGCAAAAGAGACAGACCAGGGCUUGGGAGAGACACAUUGAGGGCCUGGGAGUACACAGAGACACAGAGGGGCUGGAGAAGGGGCAAAAGACUAAAACUAAAAUGUCUUUUUAGUCAAAAGACUAUGACCAAAACUAAAUAAAAAUUUGCAGCCAAAAUUAAAGGACCACUAUAGGCACCCAGACCACUUCAGCUCAAUGAAGUGGUUUGGGUGCCAGGUCCAUCUAGAAUUAACCCUUUCUGCUGUAAACAUAGCAGUUCAGAGAAACGGCUAUGUUUACCUAUGGGUUAAUCCAGCCUUGUGCCGCGUUUACGCAUUCAGCCGAUGAUGGGGAAAGAAGGCGGAGAGUACCCAGCGCCGAGGGAGCCCGGCGCUGGAGAAAAGGUAUGUGUUGUUUUCCUGGCACUAUAGUGGUCCUUUAACACUGUGCAGUCAACUAAAAUUUGAUUCAAUGAAUCUCUAUGAGGAGAUGCUGAUUGGCCAGGGCUGUGUUUGACUUGUGCUGGCUCUGCCCUUGAUCUGCCUCCUUGACAGUCUCAGCCAAUUCAAUGCUUUUCUAUGGGGAAGCAUUAUUUGUUCAGAUCAUCACUUCUGAUGAUGUCAGCCAAGCAGGCAAAUCACGGGCAGAGUCAGCAGCAGACUGAAAUACAGAAGAGCUUUUGCUAUAUUUAGGGGGGCAAGGGGUGUGCAGUGGGGCUAGAUGGUGGUUUUGUGUUCCUGACCCUAUAGUGUUCCUUUAAUAUUAGAAUUCAAUCUAUACAUUGUGCUAGAAUUGCUAGAAAAUGUCUACAUUUCUCCAAAAUCAGAGGUUAAAAAACAGCCCUUUCCACCUCCCCUCAAUCAGUUCAGUCUGUGCUGACAUGUGCCGAUUAAAGAUAAGAAGGCUGUGUUCUACAUGUCUAUUAUCAGGGAAACCAUCGUCUACUUGAAUUGGGCUUAAGGGGUAGCAACGGUUGUAAGAGGAAGUAGGGAGGAGGGACAGGAUCUAAGUAAGAGCAGCACAAGGAACAGCAAGACGACAGGAGAGAAACAACCAUAAUGAAGGAGGGGUGUGUCUUGCAGCGCUAAAAACAUGUAUAAUAGCAGGAGAAAGAUGUAAUAGUAGUAAGGGAAGAAAAACUUAAUACUAUAACAUGAGUUAAGCCACUGCAAGGGAUUCUGGGUAGGUGUAUGUAGUAGUGAGAGCACUGUUAAAGUGAGAUUUCUGUGGGAAAGCAAGUCUUAUGGCUUGACUGGUGUGUGUUUUUGAGUUUAGCAAUGUAUUAACUAUCCACUUACUUCAGUUGCAAAGGGUUUUCAUCCACACUUUUUUACCCACCACAACUCGACUGGUAUGUACUUUACAAGUAACGCCAAGCCUCCAUAGCCUCAUCAUGGUGAUGAGUUGCAUUAACAACAAAACAGCUGUCCAUGAGUGGUUCACUGGCUUUGCUCCUCUUCCUGAGUUGUGUUUCAAAGUGUCAGAACUUAACUAUCGGCUUCUCUGAUAAUCCGACACUUCCGGGUUCAUGGACCAAUGACACGCCCCCUUCUCUGACGCGGCUUCCUCACGCUACUAAGAGGAACCGCGCCAGAUUCAAAGUGCUUGGUUAUUUUGAAGCUUCCUGAACUUCUUACCGGCUUCAAACAAUCUCUCUCUAAACUUCUGAACGUGUACCGAACCUGGACUGUUCAUACCUUGGAUCUCCAUCCUUCUUCUAUUGACCAUGGAUUACCUUUGGAAUACUUACUGCUUUGUGAAACCUUCCAAGUAAUGGCAAGUUAUAGAUUUGGAUUAAUCCUCCUACUGGCACUUCAAUACUUACUGCUUAAUUAUUUUCCAUGCCUCCUUAGUUGAAUUAGUAGACAAACUAUCUACAUAUUGUAUUCCCUAAAGCUACAGGAACUCUUCUCAUCAAACACCCUACAGAUUGUAUUCCUUAAAGCUAGAGGAACUCUUCUCAUCAAACACUCUACAUAUUGUAUUCCUUAGAGCUACAGAAACUCUUCUCAUCAAACUAUCUGCAUGUCGUGUUCCUGAAAGCUACAGGAUAUCUUCUCUUCAAACCAUCUACCUAUUUUAUUCCUUAAAGCUACAGGAACUCUUCUCAUCAAUCUAUCUUCAUACUGUUUCAUUAAAGCUACAGGAACUCUUCUUAUCAAUCUAUCUUCAUACUGUUUCAUUAAAGCUACAGGAACUCUUCUGAUCAAACUAUCUACAUGUAGUGUUCUUUAAGGUUACAGGACUCAUCUCACCAAUCUAUCUUCAUAUUGUAUUCCUUAAGCUACAUGAACUCUUCUCAUCAAUCUACCUUCAUACUGUAUUCAUUAAGGUUACAUAAACUGUUAUCUUCAAACUAUCUUCAUAUUGUGUUCAGUAAAGAUCCAUGGACUGUUAUCUUCAAAUUAUCUUCGUAUUGUAUUCCUUUAAAUUACAAGAACUGUGCAAUCCUCCUUCUCGUAAAACUCCUUAAUGAAGAAUUGUUCCAUCUAAAAUCUAAUUUUAUUAAGACACGGAGGCUCCUAUUAUGCUGCACUCUUUAUUUACCUCAGCAGCAAAGAAAAAUAACAUUAAAUCAGUAUAAAAGAAACCAGUAAAUAACAUGAGGUAUAUCCUCCUAGCAACAGGAACAGCCAAUCAGCAUCCUCUUUAUAGCAUAAUAGGCAGUGUCCCGUAUACUACUUCCUCUUUCUUUGCUGCUACCUCAGUUAAGUGACACUGGGUCCCAAGGUUCUUAACUGUAGGAUCUUCUUUAUUCAUAUCAUUACUGUGGUUAAUAUAGUUAUUAUAGUUAUUACAUUUUAAUUAUAAUAUUUUCAUGUUUAUAAAUAAAUUUAGUCAUUUCAUUUUAACUUAAUUUGAUUUAUUUACUUCAUUUGCGUCUGUUAUAUGCUUUAUUAUAUAUCCUUUGAUAAUUUCUUUCCCCUCUGAUCUCCCUGGCCCCAAGAUUGCCAUCAAUUGGGGCUCAGGGGCGCCUUUGAGGAUCUUUAUCCCCUGAAUAGUGCCAUUGUGCUGUUUUUUCCCUUCAUUUAUCUGUCUGGUCGCUGCUCUCCUACCAACUGCCAGAAAUCCAAGUUGGGGUUUAGUUGUAGUGGCAGCCGGGCAGCUCCUGUGUUUUUAUAUUACAAUUGCUAUUUUUUCACUAUUGUGAGUACUUUCAUUUCUUUAUCCUGUUUAGUUAUUUAUUGAUUUUUUACUUGAGGGUUACUCAACCCUUUCCUUUUGGUAUUAUUUUACUUUAUUCAUCCCCUUAGGUUUGUUUGUAAAUUAACGAUGCAGUCUGACAGGAUCUUUCUGUGCCUUCUGGGUCUACAGCAAACACGCAGAUUAAUGUAGAAGCCUCUCCAGGUAUCUCAGGAGAUGAGGCUGAAUUUCUGCUUUACUGAUCCUGCUGACAUGCAGGCUUUAAUUGACAUUUCCAUGGCAAAAGCAAUGGCAAGGCCCUGGUAUCAGGCUGAAAUGCCUUAUAUAAGGCUAAACACUUCUCCAAAACAAUAGAGAUGGACAGUAACAUACCUGUCACGAAUGGCGCAAUUAAUUUACCACUGCGCGAAAGAGCUACUAGUCGGGCAAAAUCGAUUAGACUUUGGAAAAGGGCAAAAGCCCAAUUGAACUCUGAAUCCGAACUCAGUGAUAUUGAGGAGGAGUUCCUGAGUUCUAUAUGGAGGUGUAUCUGUACUCACAUCUGCUCUGCUUCAGCCUGGCCGCAAGGCCUCAUAUAAGGCUAAACACUCCUCCAAAACAAUAGAGAUGGACAGUACCAUACCUGUCAUGGAUGGCGCGAUUAAUCUACCACUGCGCAAAAGAGCUACAAGUCGGGCAAAAUCGACUAGACUUUGAAAAAGGGUAAAAGCCCAAAUGAACUCUGAAUCUGAGCACAGUGAUAUUGAGGAGGAGUUCACUGAGUCCUAUACGGAGGAUUCAGUGAUAUUUCUGAUCCUGAUUAUGAAAUUACUUAUGAACAGAAUGCUAAUCCCAUUUGGGAUACACGUCCUGUUAAACCUACCAAGGUUUAGGUAGAUUAUGCAGACUCAGGGACACCGAUAGGAUCUUGGACACUCAAUGUGAACCCCUAUUCGAACCUGACGACCUAUGUCACCCAGUGGUCUCGUCAGACCAUGUAGCCAAGUAUAUUGCAUCCAGAGUACGCAAGCCUUUUGAGAAGGCAAAGUGAAAUAAAUUGCGGGCUGAAUGGCCACGCCGAACAGUCCCUGAUGACUCAUGUAAAACGCUAUCAGUCGAUCCUAAGAUCAUUCAAUUCCUCAGUAAGACAGGAUGGAAGCCAUCUAAAGGCUUAGAUUUUCAUUGCAAAACUGUCGGGAUAAAAUCCUGGGCAUCUUGGGCUCAGCAGCCAAGAUCUUUAAAGCAGUAGAGGAUGAUCUAGAAUUAGAUUGCGCUAUCUUAAGUGGUUAGAUCCAGAGAGUGAUUUAAGUUGGCAACGCCAACAAUGCGGGUUUCACAGAACGCCACAAAUCGAUCUUGCUCAAGAUUGAGCCCAAAAGUUUAACUAUGGCUCUGAACAAGCCAGAUAACACAGGCAAAAGGUUUUCUCUUUGGGGACAACUUUGUAAAAGAAUUGGGCUUCUUUGUCCGGCUAAACAAACAGAAGUUCUUUUAGACAGAACCAAGGCUCUUAUACUUGCCGAGCCGAUUUCUUUAAACAAUGCACUAUACCAACCUCCUUCCCACAAAGUGGUCGACCCUGGGUUGUUAGUGGCCUAAGAGGUGCUCCUAAGAAGUCUUCACAAUUUCCAUUCUUCCUUACUGAUAGUGGGGGGCAGGCUCACACAUUUUUCUCAUGUAUGAUACCUCAUUUCAUCAGAUGCUUAGGUUCUUCACACUGUGAAAGGGUAUUGCAUAGACUUCCUUUCUCUACCUGUUCAAUGUUCCCCAUCAAGGGAAAUUGUUUUUUCCCAAUGAGACGCAGACCUUGUCUCCGUGGCAGGGGUGGACUGACAGUGCCUCGGGCCCCUGGGCAAAACUAGGACAUGGGCCCCUUACAGUUUAAUAUAUAUGCUGGUACACAUGAUAGUGUAUAUGUACCGUGUAUUUGAUUAUAUGUGCAUGUAAAGUGAAUGCACACUAUUCACUGUGAGCCCUGGUGUAAGCAAAUAUAUGUAUUUAUAUAUGUAUUUUUGUGUGUUGUAUCAGGAUCCGUGGAUUCAGAGUAUAUUUUUUUUAGGGUAGUAUUUAUGUGUGUUUGUGUAGCAUGGCUGUACCAACUACUAUAGUCACCAAAACAACUACAGCUUAAUUUAGUUGUUCUAGUGUUUAUAGUCAGUCUCUGCAGGCAUUUUAAUGUAAACCCUGCCUUUUCAGAGAAAAGUGCUUACAUUGCUGACUAGAGACACUAGAUGUGCUUCCUGGGUCAGUGAUAGGCAAUGAGCAGCACUGAUGUUCAGUGUCUCCAUGCUCUGCAUGGAGGUGCUGAACUUUCCCCACAGAGAUGCACUCUAUGAGUACAUGCUAAUUGGCGUAAGCAGCGUUUUGCCAUGCGUGCGCAUUAGCUUCCCAAUGCUUUAUUAUGAGAAAGCAAUGGAAAGGCUGAGAUCUCAACCAAGGGGCAGAGCAUGGGCUGCGCCAGCACUGGCUGAACUGGAAUAACGGUACGUUUAUUACCUUUUUAAGAGGGGAAGGGGUGUGCUGGUGACCCAAAUGGCGUUUUUAACACUAUAUAUGCAAGUUUGUAUUCUGACCCUAUAGUGUUCCUUUAAAUACACUUUUUUUAAAAUUUAUUUAUUGUUUUUAUUCAUUCUAGUAUGUCCAGGACAUCAGCAUGUGUAUACAGGGGCAUACUUAUUGAGAGUCUGUAUGUGUGUGUAAAUGCAAGACCAAAUUAGCAUGUAGUUAGUGGGUGAACCCAGGUUUGCAUGUGUGGAAGGUCAGUAUACGUAAAAAACCAUGGGCAUGUAGUGGUUAUAUUGCGGAAAAGAGGUAAUGGGGGUAAUAGAAGCCAUUAAGUGUUCAGGGGAGGGAUAGGGGCUGUAAUAGGUGCAGAGAACAAUGGAGGCUACAGGGGGUAAUGAGAGCUUUAGUAUAUAUAAGGGUUAAUAGGGGAUGCAGUGAGUGCAGGGGGUAAUAGGGUCUGUAGAGGGUAACAGGGGCUAAAGUCUGUGCAGGCGGUAUAGGGGUUGUAGUUAGUGCAGUUGCUGUAGUGGGUGCAAGGGAUAAUAAGGCUUGUAAUGGGUGUAGGGGUUGUAGUGGGUGCAGGGGGUAAUAGGGUUUGUAGUGGGUGCAGGAGAUAUAGGUGCACAGGGUUGUAGGGACUCUAGUCUGUGUAGGGGAUAAUAGGGGUUGUAGUAUGUGUAGGGAGUGAUAGGGGUUGUAGUAUGUCUAGCGAGUCAUAGGGGUUGUAGUAUGUGUAGGGAGUAAUAGAGGUUGUAGUAUGUCUAGCGAGUCAUAGGUGUUGUAGUAUGUGUAGGGAGUAAUAGGGGUUGUAGUAUGUGUAGGGAAUAAUAGGGGUUAUAGUAUGUGUAGCAAAUGAUAGGGGUUGUAGUAUGUUUAGGGAGUAAUAGCGGUUGCAGUAUGUGUAGCGAGUAAUGUGGGGAAAAAGAGAAAAGUUAAAUAAUGUGUCCCCCCCUCCCUGAGCCUUACCUUUGUCCAUGGAGGGAGGAAUCCUUAUCCCUGGUGGUCCGGUGGCAGAAUAAGCUUGUUUGCACCCCUGGCCGGCCAUGGUACUGGAGUGGGGUCAGGCUGCCUGUAACACUGAAAGAGCAGCUCCGCAUGGGGCUGCUCAGUUACAGGCAGCCUGCAUGCUGUGUUCAGCUCACGGCAGAGGCUCUGCUCCUGGAGCCUUUGACAAUUUUUUUUUCUAGCCCACAGGCAGCACUUUCGGACAGGCACAGUGAGAGACAGCCUGGGGGGUCUUUGAUAAGGCUCCUGGGCUGUCUCUCAGUGUGCUACAAGCGCUCUGCUGCGGCCGACCAAGGGGGGAAAGUAUUUAAUAACAGGGGCCCGCAGAAGGUCAUUAGGGCCCCUCACUUAGUGCAGGCUGGCUGGGGAGCUUGUUGAGCUCCUCAGUUGAGCCAUUACAAUGCUGCAGGCAGGCGGGCCCCCAAGAGCCUCGGGCCCUCGGUCCAUGACCGAUGUGCCCGAGUGCUCAGUUCGCCCCUGCUCCGUGGACAAUCAAUCGUAGAGAUUCCGGCCCAUACCCUGGAUUAUGUGAGCAACCUUUUCUUGUUUCCCAAAAAAGGCAAAGGUAUCCAUCCAGUGAUAAAUUUGAGACUGCUCAAUAGUUAUGAGCAUAUCAGCACUUCCAAGAUGGAAGGAGAGCAUUGUUUAAGGGAUCUUCUCCAACCAGAAGAUUGGAUGGCCAAAUUGGAUCUGCAGGAUGUAUAUCUCACAGUGCCUAUCCCAGUACAUCAUCAAGAUCUUCCUGCAAUUUACAUGGUAGGGCAGUAAAUAGAGGUUCAGGUGCCUCCUAUUCGGACUGUCUUUGGCUCCAUGGUGCUUCACCAAGCUCACGUCUUAUAAUAUAUUUAGACAGCAUUUUCAUUCUGGCUCAGUCUAUUCAAUUAAUCCGGACAUACCUUGCAUGGACUUUGACUCUGUUAGAGAACCUAGGCUUCCUGAUCAGUUGGGAGAAAUCCAUUAUCGUUCCCACGCAACAAAUCAAAUUUCUGGGUUAUAUUGGAUUUUUGUAGAUUCUACCCUUCAAACUUCAAACACACCUUCCUGUGGCAAAAUUAGCCAAUAUCAAGAAGGAGAUAGGCGAACACUAGCAACCUCUCAACUCUCUCUCAAACAACUGUUGAGAAUGUUAGGCCUUCUAGCGGCAUCUAUACAGGCCAUUUUUCCAGGUCCUCUUGGCUAUCGAGCCCUACAACGAUUACAAACGUCAUCUCAAGGGCAGCGCAUCAUACACAGAUAUGGUAACUCUGGACUCAGAAGAGGAGGAUGAACUCCAAUGGCGGCUUCUUCACAUGGAAGCUUGGAAUAAGCGCACCAUAUUUUGUACAGCUCCAGAUUUGAUAAUCAAAUCCGACGCAAGUUUGCACGGUUGGGGUGCUCAAUGCGGAACUAUUUCCACCAAGGGCAGAUAAUCAAACCUGGAAUCGACACUCCACAUCAAUUGUUUGGAACAUCUGGCGAGUUCCUUUGCAUUCCACAGUUUCUCCCCAACUCAAGCCCAAUGCGCUAUCCUUCUGAAGAUGGACGUGUCAGCAGUCAGCUACAUCAAUCACUUGGAGGCACAAAAUACAAAACUUUGACCUACAUGCCUCGUGAUUGCUGGCAAUUUUACCUGAGACACAGCAUUUCUGUCAUGGCAGAAUAUAUUCAAGGUCUCUCCAACACUACAACUUCCCUGUUAUUUUCAGUUGGAGACCAGAUCCAAUAGCACUGGCUAUGAAUGUUUUCUCCAAGUAAUUACGAUUUUCUGCUCUUUGCACUGAUUCCCUGUUGCCUUUCCAUCUACAUCGCCAGUCCGGCACCUGGUGAUCGUGGUUCCUCUAUCGCCGUCCCAACCAUAGUUCUCUCCUCUUCAGGAGAUGGUUAUUGACCUUCCAUCUCUCGAGUGCCUUCUUCAGGAUCCAGACGGUGUACCUCAUCCUCUUGUUCUCCAAGGUCUCUUGCAUCUCAUAGUGUAGUCUAUUUCAGGGAACCUUGGUCAGUCAAGGGAGUUUCGCAAUCAACUCCCCAACUUAUCAAGGGUGCACCCAACAUGAGACAGGCAUAUAAAUCUGCUUGGAGCAGAUGGCAUAGUUGGUGCAUGAAAUUAAAUUUAAAUCCCAUAUCGGCUCCUUUUAUGUCUGUCCUCCAUUUUUCUGACUUCUAUGAUGAAGGUAAAGCCUAACGCACUGUGGACCUUACCGAUCGUCCAUUUCUGCUGGCCAUCAAAGUUUCGAUUGGACGGACGCCUGUCGGUUGACAUCCUGUCAUAUAUUGACUUCUCUGAGGCAUAUGGUUUGCUCAUCCACCCUUACCACGAUACUCUGUCUUGUGGGACGUCUCUAUUGUUUUUAAUUUUUUUCUUGCAAGAGGUUUUUAUGACAUACGAGCUCUUGAGGUGGUUGCUUGUUCCUUUACUCCAGAAGGUGCCCUCUUUGACAUUUCACGGAGGACAAAAACCUCCUCUAAAAUCAAUUUUACCCAGUUUUCCCUGAUAGAUCUCUCCUUUGCCCUGUUGCAUACUAAUGGGUGUGUGAACAUCGUUCCACUACGUUACGGAAUCCUUUGAAACAGGAACUCUUCAUCUCCUUCCAAAAGUCGCGUCUUCUGGUGUCUACUCUAGCCUGGUGGGUCAAAUAUGUUAUGUCUCUAGCAGAUACCCAUGUGUCUGUGCCUCAUUCGGUUCAUUGGGCAAUGGCUUCUAAGGCUUGCUCGAUUGGUUGUCGCUUGGAGGAUAUUAUGAGAGCGGCUGGUCUUCGGAGUCUACAUUCCAUGAUUUCUACUUUAGACCUAUUCAACACUUCACAGGAGAUAUAAUUUCACAGCUUUGAACUAGCAUAAUAGGAGCCUCCGUGUCUUAAUAAAAUUUACAGAUUUUACUAUUAACAUGAUGUAAAGUCAUGAUUUUAUUACUGACACGGAGGCGAGUAUUAUCCCUCCCUCCCAUCCCUGGAGGUUUGGUCUUCUCUGGGUAAGUUGACUUCACGGUAAGUCUUUUUUGACUACUGGGUUUUAUCCUUGUUGAUGACUGUCAAGAGCUUAAGGUUUGACUAAACUGAAUUUCAUGUUAUGUAUGUAUAUCUGAUAUUCCAUGUAAUGCAAAUUGAUGCAUAAAUUCAGUUUUAUACUUGGAUAUUACCAUAUUCUCCUUUCUCUUCCAGCUUGACUUCAAGAUCCAGUUUAAGGCUCGUAUACCCUCUAAUUGGAGCCCACUUUCUAUUUGGAUUUGUUGUCCUUGUUCGGGAUCGCAAGAAAGAGGAAGUAGUAUACUGGAC